rnacentral:rRNA from 1 species
UCAAAAACAUGUCUUUUUGUAAUUUAUUUAAAGUCUAACCUGCCCAUUGAAUAAUUUUUAAAAGGCUGCGGUAUUUUGACCGUACAAAGGUAGCAUAAUCAUUAGUUUUUUAAUUGAAAACUCGUAUGAAUGGUUGAACGAAAUAUUUUCUGUUUCAUAAAAAUUUAUAUAGAAAUUAAUUUUUUAGUUAAAAAGCUAAAAUAUCUUUAAAAGACGAGAAGACCCUAUAGAGUUUUAUAUAAAUUAAAUUAUAAUUUAUUUAUAAUAAUUAAAAUUUUAUUUUAUUUUAUAUUUUGUUGGGGUGACAGUAAAAUUUCAUAAUCUUUUAUUAUUUUUUAACAAUGAUUUUUGAAUAAUUGAUCCAUUUUUAAUGAUUAAAAGAUUAAAUUACCUUAGGGAUAACAGCGUAAUUUUUUUGUAGAGUUCUUAUCGAUAAAAAAUUUUGCGACCUCGAUGUUGGAUUAAGAAUAAUUUUAGGUGUAGAAGCUUAUUAAUUAGGUCUGUUCGACCUUUAAAUUCUUACGUGAUCUGA